rnacentral:rRNA from 1 species
UACGUAGGGUGCGAGCGUUAAUCGGAAUUACUGGGCGUAAAGGGUGCGCAGGCGGUUCUGCAAGUCAGGCGUGAAAGCCCCGGGCUUAACCUGGGAAUGGCGCUUGAAACUACGGGACUGGAGUAUGGCAGAGGGAGGUGGAAUUCCACGUGUAGCGGUGAAAUGCGUAGAGAUGUGGAGGAACACCGAUGGCGAAGGCAGCCUCCUGGGCCAAUACUGACGCUCAUGCACGAAAGCGUGGGAAGCAAACAGG